rnacentral:tRNA from 2 species
GCACUCGUAGCUCAGCUGGAUAGAGCGUCUGACUACGGAUCAGAAGGCCGAGGGUUCGAAUCCUUCCGAGUGCACCA